rnacentral:rRNA from 1 species
AGUGAACGCUGGCGGCAUGCCUUACACAUGCAAGUCGAACGGUAACGCGGGGCAACCUGGCGACGAGUGGCGAACGGGUGAGUAAUAUAUCGGAACGUGCCCAAUAGUGGGGGAUAGCCCGGCGAAAGCCGGAUUAAUACCGCAUGAGACCUGAGGGUGAAAGCGGGGGAUUCGCAAGAACCUCGCGCUAUUGGAGCGGCCGAUAUCAGAUUAGGUAGUUGGUGGGGUAAAGGCCUACCAAGCCGACGAUCUAUAGCUGGUCUGAGAGGACGACCAGCCACACUGGGACUGAGACACGGCCCAGACUCCUACGGGAGGCAGCAGUGGGGAAUUUUGGACAAUGGGCGCAAGCCUGAUCCAGCCAUGCCGCGUGCGGGAAGAAGGCCUUCGGGUUGUAAACCGCUUUUGUCAGGGAAGAAAUCCUUUGAGAUAAUACCUCGGGGGGAUGACGG